rnacentral:rRNA from 1 species
GAUGAACGCUGGCGGCGUGCCUAAUACAUGCAAGUCGAGCGAACAGAUGAGGAGCUUGCUCCUCUGACGUUAGCGGCGGACGGGUGAGUAACACGUGGAUAACCUACCUAUAAGACUGGGAUAACUUCGGGAAACCGGAGCUAAUACCGGAUAAUAUAUUGAACCGCAUGGUUCAAUAGUGAAAGACGGUUUUGCUGUCACUUAUAGAUGGAUCCGCGCCGCAUUAGCUAGUUGGUAAGGUAACGGCUUACCAAGGCAACGAUGCGUAGCCGACCUGAGAGGGUGAUCGGCCACACUGGAACUGAGACACGGUCCAGACUCCUAAGGGAGGCAGCAGUAGGGAAUCUUCCGCAAUGGGCGGAAGCCUGACGGAGCAACGCCGCGUGAGUGAUGAAGGUCUUCGGAUCGUAAAACUCUGUUAUUAGGGAAGAACAAAUGUGUAAGUAACUAUGCACGUCUUGACGGUACCUAAUCAGAAAGCCACGGCUAACUACGUG